GGGUUCAGAUGUUGACCCGGUAGGUAUUAGAUAUCACUGGGGUUCUGACAGAUGUUGACCCGGUAGGUAUUAGAUAUCACUGGGGUUCAGAUGUUGACCCGGUAGGUAUUAGAUAUCACUGGGGUUCUGACAGAUGUUGACCCGGUGGGUAUUAGAUAUCACUGGGGUUCUGACAGAUGUUGACCCGGUAGGUAUUAGAUAUCACUGGGGUUCUGACAGAUGUUGACCCGGUGGGUAUUAGAUAUC